rnacentral:pre_miRNA from 1 species
GUUAUACUCUCUCCAUCUUAUAUUAAGUGACUUUCUAUUACAUGUAUCUAGACACUUUUUAGACAUAGAUACAUUCAUAUUUGGACAUUUGAGUCACUUAAUAUGGGACGGAGGGAGUAUGUA